rnacentral:rRNA from 1 species
CAAGCCCUGGAAACGGGGUCUAAUACCGGAUGGGACUGCCGGCCGCAUGGUCUGGUGGUGGAAAGCGUUUAGUGGUGCAGGAUGAGCCCGCGGCCUAUCAGCUUGUUGGUGGGGUGAGUGCCUACCAAGGCGGCGACGGGUAGCCGGCCUGAGAGGGCGACCGGCCACACUGGGACUGAGACACGGCCCAGACUCCUACGGGAGGCAGCAGUGGGGAAUAUUGCACAAUGGGCGGAAGCCUGAUGCAGCGACGCCGCGUGAGGGAUGACGGCCUUCGGGUUGUAAACCUCUUUCAGCAGGGAAGAAGCCGCAAGUGACGGUACCUGCAGAAGAAGCACCGGCUAACUACGUGCCAGCAGCCGCGGUAAUACGUAGGGUGCGAGCGUUGUCCGGAAUUAUUGGGCGUAAAGAGCUCGUAGGCGGCGUGUCACGUCGGAUGUGAAAGCCCGGGGCUUAACUCCGGGUUUGCAUUCGAUACGGGCAGGCUAGAGUUCGGUAGGGGAGAUCGGAAUCCUGGUG